AUUGAACGCUGGCGGCAGGCCUAACACAUGCAAGUCGAACGAGUGGCGGACGGGUGUGUAAUGUCUGGGAAACUGCCUGAUGGAGGGGGAUAACUACUGGAAACUGUCGAUAAUACCGCAUACCAUCGGAUGUGCACAGAUGGGAGUAGCUAGUAGGGGGGGUAAAGGCGCACCUAGGCGACGAUCCCUAGCUGGUCUGAGAGGAUGACCAGCCACACUGGAACUGAGACACGGUCCAGACUCCUACGGGAGGCAGCAGUGGGGAAUAUUGCACAAUGGGCGCAAGCCUGAUGCAGCCAGGCCGCGUGUAUGAAGAAGGCCUUCGGGUUGGAAAGUACUUUCAGCGGGGAGGCGUUACCCGCAGAAGAAGCACCGGCUAACUCCGUGCCAGCAGCCGCGGUAAUAC
rnacentral:rRNA from 1 species